rnacentral:tRNA from 1 species
UGGGAAGUGGUGAAAUAAUCACGAGCAGUUGUCACUUGUUAGUUGCGUUGAUGGUCGCGCCUUCUCAU